CAGCAGCCGCGGUAAUACGUAGGGGGCAAGCGUUAUCCGGAAUCACUGGGCGUAAAGGGUGCGUAGGCGGCUGAUCAAGCCAGGGGUGAAAGGCUGUGGCUUAACCAUGGUAAGCCUUUGGAACUGGUCAGCUUGAGUGCAGGAGAGGAAAGCGGAAUUCCUAGUGUAGCGGUGAAAUGCGUAGAUAUUAGGAGGAACACCCGUGGCGAAGGCGGCUUUCUGGACUGUAACUGACGCUGAGGCACGAAAGCGUGGGGAGCAAACAGGAUUAGAUACCCUGGUAGUCCACGCUGUAAACGAUGAAUACUANGUGUCGGGGGUCAAAGCCCGGUGCCGCAGCUAACGCAUUAAGUAUUCCGCCUGGGGAGUACGGUCGCAAGACUGAAACUCAAAGGAAUUGACGGG
rnacentral:rRNA from 1 species